GAUGAAGAACGUAGCGUAAUGCGAUAAGUAAUGUGAAUUGCAGAAUUCAGUGAAUCAUCGAAUCUUUGAACGCACAUUGCGCCCGCCAGUAUUCUGGCGGGCAUGCCUGUUCGAGCGUCAUUACAACCCUCAGGCCCCCGGGCCUGGCGUUGGGGAUCGGCGGAGCCCCCCGUGGGCACACGCCGUCCCCCAAAUGCAGUGGCGGUCCCGCCGCAGCUUCCAUCGCGUAGUAGCUAACACCUCGCGACUGGAGAGCGGCGCGGCCACGCCGUAAAACACCCAACUCUUCUGAAGUUGACCUCGAAUCGGGUAGGAAUACCCGCUGAACUUAAGCAUAUCAAUAAGCGGAGGA
rnacentral:misc_RNA from 1 species